CCAGGGAACGGUGAGGAAUAAUGC
rnacentral:sRNA from 1 species